ACAGGACAGGGAAGAUGGGGAGCCACAGCCCAAGCAGCUCAGAGAAGAGGAAGAGGAGCACAGGGAACUCAGGCUUCAGAACUAUGUCCCAGAGGAUGAAGACCUGAAGAGGUGGCGGGUCCCCCAGGCCAAACCAGUUGCAGUGGAGGAGAAGGUGAAGGAGCAGCUGGAGGCUGCCAAGCC